rnacentral:misc_RNA from 1 species
GAAUUGGUUAUAUACUAUAAGAAUAAACUCGAAAGACUAGCAUUUCAAGGUUUGCGUCUUUGAAACACAAACAAGGAACCUCUUGAGCCUUUUCCCAAUCUGAUCUUCUCAUCAAUGUAUGUGAUUUCUAGUUUAACUUCACUCUCACCACCAUACUGAAAGUCUAACCCUCCUACCUUGAGUUCAGGCGGUUCGAACACAACUUGGAUCCAUUUUUCAUCUAAAACAUUCAACUUUCCUUUUAAGGAAACCUCACCAUCAAGGAAACCAAAAAGCGAAAAGGACACUCUGUUCCUUACAAUGUCAGGGGCUUCAACAACCUGAAUCAUUUCAUUCGUUUUGAAGAAAAGGCGACCAAAUGCACUCCGAUAGCCACCCCCAGGUGAAGUGGGAUUUGAACAGUACACUACAUCCCAUUCUCCGAAUAUAAGAGGGCAUUUCACAGGUUCAUCCACGCAAAAACGUUGCAAUUCUUGAACCACUUUAGCUACACUUUUGUGCUCAUCCCUUGUCAGCAAAACACCUCGAUCCGUUUGUGUAACCUUAGAAAGAAUGGUAUCGACGAGGUCAUCCGGUUUAGUAACCGGCGCCGGAGAUGCAGAUACAGAAGCAUAGAUUGGGGAAAACAUCCGGCGACGGUUAGAGCGGUUUUGAUGGGAGUUAAGUGGUAGAUGCAAACUUGAUUGAGCGGCUGGAGAAGAUCUCCGGCGAGGAUUUCCAAUAAGAGCGGCGGCUGUAGUGCCGGUGCCGGCGACGACGUGAGUGGUCA